ACUGGAGGAGAGCUAAUAAACUGAAACCUCAUCCAGAGAGGACAGAGGCACCGUUCGUGGGUGGUUCUCUAGACUGGAUGGAUGGUUGUGGCCUGCUCUGGAUGGGUUACACUUGGGAGUACUUCUGGAUCCAUUGCUGUUUGAGGCACAGUCUCCUACACCACUGUCCACACCAUGUACCAACAUCAGAAGACCUGUUUUGUGGGACUGCUUGGGAGAGGAGAGGGCAGGCAAGUCACCUUCUGCCAGCCUCCUUCCACUGGCACUUCUUUGGAUCCAACCCAUUCUGUUUAACAAUUGAGGAAAACAGGAAACAAGAACAGGGAGAAGGGAAGUGCUGAAAUGAUAUGUGAUUUGUACAUUGCCUGCACCAUUAUUUUAGCCUUGUAUAAAGACUGUUCAGUAGCCUUUUAAGUUUCAUUGGUGGAACAUUGCAACAAAAUUGGUAAACUGUACAUCUAGUCUGUAGCUUUAAUCUGUAGUGAUCAUAUGCGGUUUGCCAUAAAGUAGAUCCCAUUGAACUUGCUUCCAAAUAAACAUGCAUAGAAUCAGAUUGAGAAAUCUCCCUCUUUAAAGAAUGGAUCAGGAUAUUUAUUGUUCUUCACUAUUUAACUAUUUAGUGCCAAACUAAGAGCCUAGUGUUGUGUAUUGCUGCAUGCUAAGUGCAGGUACAAUACCACCAGAGAUGGAGUUGUUUGUAAUGUUUAGUAUAUGAAGCAAUAGUUGUGUAAACUGUAACCUUGUAAUUUUGCAAGUUCCACUUUAUCAUGUAGCUGUAAAAGGUAAUCAAAAUAAAUCAUGGAUGAAGAAGAAA